UACGGGGGGGGCAUGCGUUGUUCGGAAUUACUGGGCGUAAAGGGCUCGUAGGCGGCCAACUAAGUCAGACGUGAAAUCCCCGGGCUCAACCCGGGAACUGCGUCCGAUACUGGAAGGCUUGAAUCCGGGAGAGGGAUGCGGAAUUCCAGGUGUAGCGGUGAAAUGCGUAGAUAUCUGGAGGAACACCGGUGGCGAAGGCGGCAUCCUGGACCGGCAUUGACGCUGAGGCGCGAAAGCCAGGGGAGCAAACGGG
rnacentral:rRNA from 1 species